CCCUGGUGGCGAGUGGCGAACGGGUGAGUAAUGCAUCGGAACGUGCCAUCGAUGGGGGAUACUGCGCGAAAGCGUUGCUAAUACCGCAUACGACCUACGGGUGAAAGCAGGGGACCGCAAGGCCUUGCGUCGAUGGAGCGGCCGAUGCCGGAUUAGCUAGUUGGUGAGGUAGAGGCUCACCAAGGCGACGAUCCGUAGCUGGUCUGAGAGGACGACCCAGCCACACUGGGACUGAGACACGGCCCAGACUCCUACGGGAGGCAGCAGUGGGGAAUAUUGGACAAUGGGCGAAAGCCUGAUCCAGCAAUGCCGCGUGUGUGAAGAAGGCCUGCGGGUUGUAAAGCACUUUCAGUAGGGAAGAAAAGCCUAAGGUUAAUACCCUUGAGUCUUGACGUUACCUACAGAAGAAGCACCGGCUAACUCCGUG
rnacentral:rRNA from 1 species